UGGAGAGGUGGCUGAGCGGUUGAAGGCGGCUCCCUGCUAAGGAGUUAUGGGGUUGAUAACCCCAUCGAGGGUUCGAAUCCCUCCCUCUCCGU
rnacentral:tRNA from 1 species